rnacentral:rRNA from 1 species
CCUACGGGGGGCUGCAGUGGGGAAUAUUGCGCAAUGGGGGCAACCCUGACGCAGCAACGCCGCGUGAUUGAUGAAGGUCUUCGGAUUGUAAAAAUCUUUAAUCAGGGACGAAGAAAAUGACGGUACCUGAAGAAUAAGCUCCGGCUAACUACGUGCCAGCAGCCGCGGUAAUACGUAGGGAGCAAGCGUUAUCCGGAUUUACUGGGUGUAAAGGGCGUGUAGGCGGGCUUGCAAGUUGGAAGUGAAAUCUCGGGGCUUAACCCCGAAACUGCUUUCAAAACUGCGAGUCUUGAGUGAUGGAGAGGCAGGCGGAAUUCCCAGUGUAGCGGUGAAAUGCGUAGAUAUUGGGAGGAACACCAGUGGCGAAGGCGGCCUGCUGGACAUUAACUGACGCUGAGGCGCGAAAGCGUGGGGAGCAAACAGGAUUAGAUACCCCAGUAGUC